rnacentral:rRNA from 1 species
GACGAACGCUGGCGGCGUGCUUAACACAUGCAAGUCGAACGAAGUGGCGAACGGGUGAGUAACGCGUAAUCAACCUGCCCUUCAGAGGGGGACAACAGUGGGAAAGGACGGCUACUACCGAAUACGGAAGAGGGGGAUUGCGGCUGAUUUGCUAGUUGGCGGGGUAACGGCCCCACCAGGCGAUGGACAGUAGCCGGUCUGAGAGGAUGAACGGCCACAUUGGGACAGAGAAACGGCCCCGACUCCUACGGGAGGCAGCAGUGGGGAAUCGUCCGACAUUGAGGAAAGUCUUACGGAGCACCGCCGCGUGGGUGAUGACGGCCUUCGGGUUGUAAAGCUCUGUUCAUCGGGACGCGUUACCGGAAUAGAAAGCCACGGCUAACUACGUGCCAGCAGCCGCGGUAAUAC